CCUACUUGACCUUCUGGUUCCAACCUCUUUCUCCAGCCUGUCAUCCUUGUGACUGCCAGCAUAACCUUCCUCCUUAUUGUUCAGAGGUUUCUGUUCCCACUGGUGGAAUCAGUUGAGGACUCUGGUCCAGAUCAUCGUCUCUCUGGACUGCAGGCUGAAGGAGGAGGCACCGCCAUAUGGUUCAUUGCCGCAGCAGAGGAUUCCACAUAUACUGCUGUUUGCAUAGCAGUCAGAAAGCACGUCGGUGAUACUCAUCACUUUGCAGAAGAAGAAAUUGAGACCCCAGAGAACCAGACACUUUCUUGCUAUUUCAAAGAGCCAAUGCUAUCAUUCCACCAGUCCGUGUCAAAGCAUGAAGCUGCUCCUGUGAACUGCUGGCAGGUCUGGCCAGAGAAUAGUCAAGCUUAUAGCAACGGCUCUUGCCAGACCAGACAUCCCUAAAUCCCC